UACGGGGGGUGCGAGCGUUGUCCGGAAUCACUGGGCGUAAAGGGCGCGUAGGUGGUUUGAUAAGGGCGUGGUGAAAGCCCGGGGCUCAACCCCGGGACUGCCGUGCCGACUGUCAAACUCGAGGGCUGUAGAGGCAGACGGAAUUCCGGGUGUAGCGGUGGAAUGCGUAGAGAUCCGGAGGAAGACCGGUGGCGAAGGCGGUCUGCUGGGCAGUUUCUGACACUGAUGCGCGACAGCGUGGGGAGCAAACAGG
rnacentral:rRNA from 1 species